GGCUUUUCUCAAAAGGGUCACAGAGAGCUGGAUCUCCUCUCCCCUCUCCACCCCAUGGCACACAUCACUUCCUGAACAUGGAAUUUUUUGACCACUGAGGCCAGAGAAAGCCUCAGUUAACGCCACUCUCCAUCCUUGUUAACGCCACUCUCCAUCGGUCAGGUAACCUAUGCUAUAAAAUCUCUUUGUUAUCCCCAAACCAAAUGCUUGUGGAGUGUCUACGGUGCACUCUGCAUAUGCUACAUUAGGCAAGAUUUUCUGAAUAGAGCGAGCUAACAGAAAGAUGGUGUAGGCAGGAAUGCCGAAGUAAGGCCCGCUGGCACUGGGAGAGGUCCCAAGGCAUGGAGCUCCUGGCCUUCAGAUUCUGAUUGGAUUAUAUCACCAGUUUUCCUGGGUCUCCAGCUUAUAGAUGGCAGAUCAUGGGACUUCUCAGCCUCUACAAUCAUCACAACUCAAGAGGUGGGAUCUCUUCACUUGCAAGUAACUGAUGUAUUCAACUGCUAAAAUGAUUGCAUUACAGACAACUGGAGCCGAAGCUGGAAAUUGGAGGGAGCAAAGUACCUGAAUUCCACUUGGGCAACUGUAAACACCAGAAGCUCCUAAGAUCGGAGCUUAUUAUCAUAAUCAUCUCGAAGGAUGGCUUCCAUCGGAAAGUUCAACAUUUUUUUUAGCACAUUGUAGGUAGGGAUGGGGGAGUGGAGUCAGCCUAGAUUUUGAGGCCACUUAACAAAGAAAACCCAAUCUCUUUCGUCGCCCCCAUGUCUCUCAGGGCACCCGGGUGCUCUGGGAUGCUACAGGUCCCAUCCGCAGGCCUUGCCCUAGGCCAGCUAACCUUGAGUCCUGUACGAUGCUGUCCACUGUGGGACAUGUGACUGGAGAGCCUGCCUGGCACGAAAACCAUCACACAUUCAGCAGUGAGCAAUUUCUGCAGGAACCGGAAGGGAGCAAAGAGGCAGCGUGCGGUAAAGUUGGGUCUCUAGGCAAGUCUCCUUCACGAUUUUAUAGAAUCGAUCUUAUAUUUGAGCGUGUAAAGAGGACAUAGCCAAAAAGUAAACACAAUUUACAAUGCUAAAAACUGGAGAGGGGCGCCUGGGUGGCUCAGUCAGUUAAGCGUCCGACUUCGGCCCAGGUCACGAUCUCAUGGUCCGUGAGUUGGAGCCCCGCGUCGGGCUCUGUGCUGACAGCUCAGAGCCUGGAGCCUGCUUCGGAUUCUGUGUCUCCCUCUCUCUCUCUGCUCCUCCCCCGUUCAUGCUCUGUCUCUCUCUGUCUCAAAA